rnacentral:rRNA from 1 species
AUGGAAACCUACUCCGACCUCGGCACCGACGGCGGCAAACCUGCUCCGACGAAGCCGGCGAUGGAGGAACCACGCGCCGCCACCACUGGAGGUCCGUCCAUAGUUGGCCCCGACGCUCCCCCCGCCCCCCAGCCGGGUACCGCCGCCGGCGCGAGGAAGCGGAAGGCCCCGACGACGGCGACAGCAAAGGCCGCCAGGAAGCCUCGCAUGCCGCAGGUUGAAGAACCAAUUCAGAUGCAUGUGUACUAUGGACUUAGAGAAAUGUUUGACAGCGUUCAGGGCGAUGAUUUAGUUGCAGAUUCGUUAGACACUUUUGUAGAGAACAACUGUGCACACGUCAUCGGUGAGCUACCGCUGCAGCCGCAGUCGAUGUCAUUGGUGGAUCUACAGCUCUGGAUCUUCAAGUUGUUCUGGCUCCAUCCAGAAACACAAGAUCUCGCUAUUAAGGGGUUCCGCAAACAACACAAAAGUGACUCCUACGACGACUCCUCUGAACUGGACAGUUAUUUGGAGUACUACCCGUGGGACAUACAUUACUUUAAGACUGACAAGUGUUGGAGUUCCUUUGCCAAUAAAUUGAAGAGAAAAAGAAAUGUGACACAGAAGUUCAUGUUGUAUGUGCAAUCUUCUGAGAUAGAGCAUUAUGACAUUCUGCUCAAAGCUGUAAAUGAUGAUUAUUAUCAACUGGCGACGGUUGUGUUGCCUGGGACAAAAAGCCUGUCAAGUGGCUUCUCCUUUGGUGCCCUUGUGGAAGACUUGACAAUGACAGCAAAGGAAAUUGGAGAUUAUCUCACUGGUCAGUUUGGUGAGCAGAUUAGUCCUGGUGAGGCGUGGAGAGCAAAACAGUUUGCUCUGGAGAGGAAAUUUGGUACAUUUUAUGAUUCACACAACUUUGCCCCGAGGUUACUUAAGGAUAUAGCACGUAAAAACCCUGGUAGUUUUGUUGACAUCAAGGAUGCAGAGGUUGCAGGGUGUAAAGAUUUCCGAGUCCUCUAG